AGAGCAAGGAAAGGAACUCUGGGCCCGUCAAGAUGGAUGCAGAAAAUAUCUUCUGGAACGAGACAACGUCUCAAGUCUCUACUUCCCUCACUGGUCAGCUCUGUGCUCUUGACUAGGACUCAUCCUCUUUGUGUAUGGAGCUGGGGAUGUGAAAGAAGGUGCAGAGACACCAGCCAGCUCUGAGGAGUGGACAUCCUACCCGGCUCGAGAUAAUACAAGACAAUGACCGCUGACCUCUCCAGAGUCUACCGUCCUUCAGAGAUUAGAAAUCAGUGAUCGUGGCUCCCACAUCACCUCUGGUUCGGGGAACAUGGAG